UCCGCCUGGAGUCCGGCUUGGUCCGCCUGGAGUCCGGCUGGGUCCGGCUGGGUCCGCCUGAGUCCGGCUGGGUCCGGCCGGGUCCGGCUGGGUCCGGCUGGAGUCCGGCGGAGUCCGCCUCGGUCCGCCUGGAGCCCGCUUGGGUCCGGCUGGGUCCGGCUGGGUCCGGCCGGGUCCGGCUGGGUCCGCCUGGAGUCCGCCUGGGUCCGGCUGGGUCCGGCUGGAGUCCGCCUUAGUCCGGCUGGGUCCGCCUGGAGUCCGCCUGGUAACCUUUCUGCUGGUUUUCCAGAUUCUUGGUUGAGUGUCGCUUCAGCAAACCCAGCGCCGCUCAGCAGUCGGUGAGCAGACCCGGCUUCACGCUGUCUUCCUCACCUUCGUCGGUCGUCUCAGGCGAUCGUCCUGCUGUCCAGCUAAGAAUCGCUAAAGGUCAGAUUCUCUUCAGGUCAUCCAUGUUUUUCAAGGGUUACACAGACUGAAUGAAUUGGACAUUUUUCUCCAGAUCACACCUAUUCCAGCUACUUCUCCACCUCCCAUCAGCCUCUGCGUUUCCUCCUUGGCCAUCCCGUGUAUCUGGAGUUGAGGUUGCGGUCUCCUCCUCAUCCGGACGCCGUCAUUCUUGUGAACUACUGCCUGGCUCGUCCUCGCUCGGCUACAAACGGCAUGGUUCUGGUCUAUGAAAGAUGCUCCAAUCCCGACGAUCCAUCCGUGUCGGUCCUUAAAGUGAAGGACUUUCCGAACAGCCGCCAUCGAAGACGCUUUGUGGUGGACGCGUUCCGGUUCAUGUCUCUGAAGACAGACGUGUUCUUGAAUGAAGAGGUGAGCCCAUGCGUGUUCUUGACCGUGACGCAGACAGCCACGUCUGCUGACGACUGCAGGACGCCGUCCCUCUGCAGAUCUACUUCCUGUGCUCCACAGACGUCUGUGACCCGAACCAGCGGUGGUGUGAGGAGCGCUGCUUGGACGGACGCGUGGAUCUGCAAACCGCAGAAACCUGGAGAUGAAAAUAAAGAGCAAACGUGUGAAAAUGUUCUGAGACGUUGUUCUUGCUGGAAGAACGUGACCUUCCAGGUUGUUUUAGGUUCUGUGACCUUUAGUCUCCUGUAAACAUCAGAAAGUUUCAGUCGAGGAAGAAGACAAAAAGACGGAACAAAAAUGAUUCUGAAGUCUGAAGGUUGGUUUCUAAACCGCAUAAGUUCAUCUUUAUUAGGCAUGAUUAUUUAUCACUGGAAGUUUUUUCUGCUAUUGAGGAGUAAUCAAGAACAUCAGCUGGAACCAGACGGGUUCUGAAAGUGGAGGGUCAUUCAGGGUCGAGUAAAAGUACCGCUCUACUGUAAUCGAGUACAAUUUAAACAAGGAAAAGAAUUCCAGUAAAUCAGACGGCGUUUCCUUCUGCAGAGCUUUUCUUUUAUAUUUUUUUCGUUUCUUUUCCUUCUGUAGAGCUUUUCUUUAUUUUACAUUUUUUUCUUUUCUUUUCCUUCUGCAGAGCUUUUCUUUCUUUUAUAUUUUUUCUUUUCCUUCUGCGGAGCUUUUCUUUUAUCAUUUUCCUUCUCUCCUACGUCUCCCAAACCCGAUGCGGUACGGUCACGGUCCCGUUCCCCCAUGAGCUCACUGCUGGCCGCUCCGCUGCACAACUCUGGCGCCGGCCGUGAAUCACCAGCUUGGGCUUCAGUGUCCUGCCCACGAACACUUCAACACAAUGGCAGGCAGAGCGGGAAUUGAACCCACAGCCAAAGCAGAAUGGGACUGCCUGCAGUCAUGGUACAGAGCAGAGGUUUCCUCACAAGGCCUCUCCUAAAAAGAACAGCCCUGAAAGUUGGAGAAAACUCUUUAAUAGCAUUUAAAACCGACAGCUGAGCUCCUGGUGUUUCCUCCUUUUAGAACCGAGCCUCAUCUGUGAGGAACGUUUGUGGAUCAGAACCAAACGCCUCAUUCUGGUUCUUGUUGGUGGGUUUCUGCUCUGCUGCUGAUGGGAGGACUCCCAUCUCUACGUCUGUAUUGUCCUUUUAUAAAGUUGAAUAAAGAGAGCGGCCUGAAGGAUGCUGCGUUCAGGCUGUUUUUACUGAAGUGGCUUCAUAACAGCAGCAGGAGAAAACACAUUUAUUGGAGACGUGAUUCUGUUUAUUGUUCAUGUCAGCUCAAGGAACUUUUCCAAAAGACAGAAAACAUACAUUUAAAUCACUAUUUAAUGUUCUGUCCUUAAACAUUUAGAAUUAAAUGCACUUCAGCAUCGUUUACAUGUUUAAUGACUUCUAAUAGUCGUCUUCUGAAGCUGGUUUAUAAUCUGAAUAUCGUCUGGCAGAGUUUUUCAUUCAGUUUCUGACAGAUGGAUUUUACAAACCAAUGAUUGAAUGUUCUUGACUUUUUCAUGGAGGAUUCUUCUUCCUGCUCUUUUCUGGUGGUGGUGUGAGUGACAGAAGCAUUUCCCAUAUUCCACAAUCUUUUUUUUUGUCAAAUGAACCAUUUUAUUUAGUAUCAUUUAAAAUCAUCUGUUGGUUCAUUUCUACAAAUAGGUUUUCAGUUAUUUAGAGUUCUACAUAUGGAGUUCCCAGUGUAAAAGUGUAGCAUGCAUCACGCUAACGUCCAGCUCCAGGAGGCUGGGAGCCCCCAGGUGUGUGUUUGUGUUCCCCCUCCAGCAUGCAGCACUGUGGGGGGGGACCAGAACACGGCAGAAACAGAGAAGAAAAAACAAGAACCUCAGGACUUUUUCCAUGUCAUGCACAUACAUUUGACCCUCUGUGCACGCAUCCGGAGAAUCUCACAUUUCUUGGCAGCCCCCCCCCCCGAGACACAACCUUUGUGCUUCUGCUGCACUUCAUUUAUUCUACAACAGGCUCAGUCGCCACAGAGGAGUGCAGCAGAAAUGAGCAGCACUGCUGUCAGUAUUGCAGUGUAGUCAGGCGACUGUUCAUUACACACAAAGAAACACAAACAACUGAAAUGAUGAGACAACCAACACUGGCCUUUUGCUGUGCUGAGAGCUGCACUUGUGCUCUGCUGCAAAAAUGCAAGGCAUGAGAUGGAAACCACAAUCUGUGAAGAGCUUUGCAAAUGCACACAGAAGCUGUCACUUUAGCACACACACACGCACGCAUGCACACACACACUCAUGAAAAGAUUCAAAUUCUACAGGAGUUUAUGCUUAAAGACGCUGCAUUCUAACUAACUAACCAACUAACCAGCUAACCGGUAAAGUAAAGCAAAAGGAAAGCACUUAUUGAAAACAUACUAUUGCAUUAGGCACUACUCCACCCCCCAGAGGUCUUUGGGGACCGCCGACAACAGGAAGAUGAAGCUGUAGUUCUGCCCCGUCACCCACACACUUCACGGUCUGCAUCCUGUCAACGACCACUAGAGCUGCAGCUCCGCCACUCAGCUCUGCCUCUUCAGUCAUGGUCCAUACAAUAAUUAAAGUGAGAACAACAGAGCAGCAUCACACACAGGGACUCACUGUUCAACACAUUCUCAUAGAAUGCUGAUUAUUUAGCUAACAUGGGAUUUCCAUGUCAGUCCACUGUCAUCCGGACAGACAGCCGACUGUGUGGAGUUUCUGAGUCAGUGUUUGAUGAUGCAUCAGUGGUUCUGUCAUCAACACGUGGAUCUGCAUCCACAGAUCUGUUCUCUAGACGGUGACAAAAACACUUCAACAUUCAACACAACCUGGUCAUUCUCUGACCCCCCCACCCCCCACUGGAGGUCACCAGAGAGAGAGAGAGAGACAGCACCGCGUUAAGCAGCGGGGACCGGAAGCGGCGGUCUAACCGGAAGUUGAAUUGAUCUUGAACGGUUCUUCUUCACCAGCAGCUCAGGUGAGUCUCUGCAGCUUUUAGCGGGUUAAAAUUCUCCCCAUGUCGGGUUUCAGACCCGCAGUGACGUUUCGGAGGAAUUUCCAUUUUUUCUGUAAAACUUUAAAAUAGAAAAGCGGUUCCGGCAGAAACGUUUCUUCUGCUCGAUAAUCUGGAAUAAUCUGUCAGAGAAACUCCUGCAGGUUGAGGCUGAACUUUUGUCCGGGUCGCUGAAAACUUUUAUUCGUGAACAUUGGACCGGAACUCCCGCGCAAGCUCGUGCUGUCACGCGCCGCGUGCGUGACGGAGCUGCAGACGCAGCGUCAGCAGGUCUGCGGGAGGGAGGUGCGGGUUGUUGCGCACAGACAGUUCUGCGCUCAGAUCCAAAGUUGUGCUCCG
ensembl:lncRNA